rnacentral:rRNA from 1 species
UGGAUAAGCGCCAAUGAUGUUAUGCUUCCAAGAAAAGCUCGUACACCUCUAAAAGUAAUUUUAGAAAAACACAAAAAUAACCUGUACCUGAAACCGACACAGGUAGGUUGGUAGAGAAUACCAAGGGGCGCGAGAGAACUCUCUCUAAGGAACUCGGCAAACUAGCCCCGUAACUUCGGAAGAAGGGGCGCCCUUUGAAAAAAGGGUCGCAGUGACGAGGUUCUGGCAACUGUUUAUCAAAAACACAGGUCUCCGCAAAGUCGUAAGACAAUAUAUGGGGGCUGACGCCUGCCCAGUGCCGGAAGGUCAAGGAAGUUGGUUAGAAGUCUUCGGAUUUCGAAGCUGACGACCGAAGCCCCGGUGAACGGCGGCUGUAACAAUGACAGUCCUAAGGUAGCGAAAUUCAUUGUCGAGUAAGUUUCGACCUGCACGAAAGGCGUAAUGAUCAGAACGCUGUCUCGGAGAGAGGCUCGGGAAAUAGACUUGUCCGUGAAGAUGCGGACUACUAAUACUUGGACAGAAAGACCCUAUGAAGCUUGACUGUAUCCUGGAAUUGGGUUCGGGCUUUUCUUGCGCAGUCUAGGUGGGAGGCUAUGAAGAUUUCCUUCUAGGGAAGUUGGAGCCAAAAGUGAGAGACCACUCUGGAGAGGCUAGAAUCCUAAUGGUGAUCCUUGAAUCAGGACACUUGACAGUUUCAGGUGGGCAGUUUUUCUGGGGCGGAAGCCUCAUAAAAGGUAACUGAGGCGCGCAAAGGUUCCCUCAGUCUGGACGGAAAUCAGACAGUGAGUGUAAAGGCAAAAGGAGCUUGACUGCAAGACCAACAAGUCGAGCAGGAGCGAAAGCUGGCCUUAGUGAUCCGACGGUGCCGAGUGGAAGGGCCGUCGCUCAACGAAUAAAAGUUACUCUAGGAUAACAGGCUGAUCUUCUCCAAGAGUUCACAUCGACGAGAAGGUUUGGCACCUCGAUGUCGGCUCAUCACAUCCUGGGGCUGUAGUAGGCCCCAAGGGUUGGGCUGUUCGCCCAUUAAAGUGGUACGUGAGCUGGGUUCAGAACGUCGUAAGACAGUUCGGUCCAUAUCCGGUAUUAGCGUUAGAAUAUUGAGGUCAGUCACUCAUAGUACGAGAUGACCUGUAGUGAACAUGCCAAUGGUGUACCUGUUAUUUUUCCAAAAGUAAACGCAGGGUAGCCACGCAUGGAGUGAAUAAGUACUGAAUGCAUCUAAGUACGAAGUCCAGACCAAGAUGAGUAUUCUCCAUAAAGCCGCAGCAAGACAAGCUGUCGUAUAGGUAUCAAGUGUAAGGCCAGUAAUGGUUUCAGCUGAGAUAUACUAAAGGCUAAUUGA